rnacentral:rRNA from 1 species
UCGGGUGCGUUCAGUGUGAGUAGGGUGCGGGUUGGGUGGUGGGGUUGUACGGUAUGUUGUGGCGGAAAGAGGUGGGGGGGCGUGGUUCGCGGCGGCGGUGAAAACUUGCUGGGUAACGGUGGGCGGGUGGUCUCUACGGGCAGCUCUGGAGUUCGGCAGGGGAGCAUGGAAUUCGUGGUGUAGCGGUUAAAUGCGCAGAGAUCAGGAGGAACACCGGGGGCGAAGGCGGGUCUCUGGGCCGAUACUGACGCUGAGGAGCGAAAGCGUGGGGAGCGAACAGGAUUAGAUACCCCGGUAGUC